ACGGAGCCCUAGGGCGCAAACGGGAUUAGAUACCCCGGUAGUCUAGGGUGUAAACGCUGCAGACUUGGUGUUGGGGGUCCUGCGUGGGCUGCCAGUGCCGGAGCGAAGGUGUUAAGUCUGCCGCUUGGGGAGUACGGUCGCAAGACUGAAACUUAAAGGAAUUGGCGGGAGAGCACCGCAACGGGAGGAGCGUGCGGUUCAAUUGGAUUCAACGCCGGAAAACUCACCGGGGGCGACGGAGGGAUGAAAGCCAGGCUGAAGACCUUGCCCGAUUCUCCGAGAGGUGGUGCAUGGCCGUCGUCAGUUCGUACCGUAAGGCGUUCUGUUAAGUCAGAUAACGAACGAGACCCUCGCCUUCAGUCGCCACUUCACGAGCGAUCGUGAGAGCACACUGGAGGGAUCGCUGCCGCUAAGGCAGAGGAAGGAGAGGUCUACGGUAGGUCCGUAUGCCCCGAAUCUCCCGGGCAACACGCGCGCUACAAAGGUGGGGACAAUGGGAUCCGACCCCGAAAGGGGAAGGCAAUCCUGAAACCCCAUCGUAGUCUGGAUC
rnacentral:rRNA from 1 species